GGCUGUUCUCUGUCGCCACCCCGCGGUCACGGCGGGUAGCGCAGCCGGUCCCGCCCCGCGGGCAGCAGCGGCCGCGGCGCCGCCGAAACGUCGGGAAAAAUUCGGAAUUCGGGAAAAACGCGCCCGCUCCGGACGUGCUGAGGCUCCCGAAGCCCCGACAGCGCCGGGCUGCAGCGGGAGCACUGAAAGCAUCUCCGGUUCUACCAGGUUUGAAGAACGGACAGCGAACACCGGCACCGCCGCGGGUCCGCAGCGCUGCGAGCACAACGCGGGAUGAGAUCCGCCAAAGUGACCGUUCCUACAGAAAUCCCGUCUCCACUCGCUCGUCUGACACUGCUGAGAAGGGCUUCUGGAGACUACAGUUGGACAGAGAACAACUUACACUUCAAACCCAUCGAACUCAUUUCCAUCAUCUACCAAAUUCCUAUUUCCUCCUUAUUUCUAAAAGCUCAGCUCUGCUGAAGAACACAGCGUGGAAUUUGACCUACAAACCCUUCUCGACAGUGAUAAUAUUAAAAAAAAAAAGGAAUAAAUUGAUCUGAUGAACACAGUGAAAAA